UCCUACGGGAGGCAGCAGUGGGGAAUAUUGGACAAUGGGCGAAAGCCUGAUCCAGCCAUGCCGCGUGUGUGAAGAAGGCUUUCGGGUUGUAAAGCACUUUCAGCGAGGAAGAAAGCCUGGUGGUUAAUACCCAUCAGGAAGGACAUCACUCGCAGAAGAAGCACCGGCUAACUCCGUGCCAGCAGCCGCGGUAAUACGGAGGGUGCGAGCGUUAAUCGGAAUUACUGGGCGUAAAGCGCGCGUAGGUGGCUUGGCACGCCGGUUGUGAAAGCCCCGGGCUCAACCUGGGAACGGCAUCCGGAACGGCCAGGCUAGAGUGCAGGAGAGGAAGGUAGAAUUCCCGGUGUAGCGGUGAAAUGCGUAGAGAUCGGGAGGAAUACCAGUGGCGAAGGCGGCCUUCUGGCCUGACACUGACACUGAGGUGCGAAAGCGUGGGUAGCAAACAGGAUUAGAUACCCUGGUAGUCCACGCCGUAAACGAUGUCGACUAGCCGUUGGGACCUUUAAGGACUUAGUGGCGCAGUUAACGCGAUAAGUCGACCGCCUGGGGAGUACGGCCGCAAGGUUAAAACUCAAAUGAAUUGACGGGGGCCCGCACAAGCGGUGGAGCAUGUGGUUUAAUUCGAUGCAACGCGAAGAACCUUACCUACCCUUGACAUCCUGCGAAUUUGGUAGAGAUACCUUAGUGCCUUCGGGAGCGCAGUGACAGGUGC
rnacentral:rRNA from 1 species